CUGAAUAGUCAGCGGGAAACCGUGGACUCGGUGCCCACACGAACUGCUACCCGCUGUCUACUAGGGCGGCAAAAAGAAUCUACGAGAACUUCUGCCCCCGAACCUCCAGAAAAACUAUCAAGAUUCCAUGAAGCAUCUCUCUAGCUGCCUUUGAAAUAAUAUGUGCUCAGGUGAAACCUCUUUUCUGCUCUCCUCACAUUUCCACCUCAACCCAUAAAGGAAGAGAUAUUCUUCGAAACUUAGUCCCCUGUCCUUCCUUUUUUAGCACCCCCACAGGUCAAAGAGUUUUAUGCUCAACAAACAGUUCAACAUGUCCACUACAUCCCAGGGACUUGCUGUCCAGCAUGAGGAGCAGGCAGUAAACUGUAUUGCAAUGCAUCGUUCAAGAUUUCACUGUUCUAAAUUUAGAUGAACUAGGAAGAAAAAUGAGACUUUUUCACGAAGGAAAUUAAAGAGUAAGAAAAAAUGCCUUCCAUAGCACUUGUG